rnacentral:rRNA from 1 species
UACAGAGGGUGCGAGCGUUAAUCGGAAUGACUGGGCGUAAAGGGUGCGUAGGUGGUUGAUUAAGUUAGCUGUGAAAGCCCUGGGCUUAACCUGGGAAUGGCAUCUAAAACUGAUGAACUAGAGUAGGUGAGAGGAGUGUGGAAUUUCCGGUGUAGCGGUGAAAUGCGUAGAGAUCGGAAAGAACACCAGUGGCGAAGGCGGCACUCUGGCACCAUACUGACACUGAGGCACGAAGGCGUGGGGAGCAAACAGG